rnacentral:rRNA from 1 species
AGAUUAGCUUGCUUUAGUUGUCAGCUAAGUGGCGCACGGGUGAGUAAUGUAUAGAUAACCUGCCCUUAAGAAAGGAAUAACAGUUGGAAACGACUGCUAAUGCCCUAUAUGCCUUUAAUACAUAAGUAUGCAAGGGAAACGCUUUAGUGCUUAAGGAUGGGUCUGUAUGGUAUCAGCUUGUUGGUGAGGUAAUGGCUCACCAAGGCUAUGACGCCUAACUGGUUUGAGAGGAUGAUCAGUCACACUGGAACUGAGACACGGUCCAGACUCCUACGGGAGGCAGCAGUGGGGAAUAUUGCACAAUGGACGAAAGUCUGAUGCAGCAACGCCGCGUGGAGGAUGACACAUUUCGGUGCGUAAACUCCUUUUAUAUAGGAAGAUAAUGACGGUACUAUAUGAAUAAGCACCGGCUAACUCCGUGCCAGCAGCCGCGGUAAUACGGAGGGUGCAAGCGUUACUCGGAACCACUGGGCGUAAAGAGCGUGUAGGCGGGUAUAUAAGUCAGAAGUGAAAUCCUAUAGCUUAACUAUAGAACUGCUUUUGAAACUGUAUACCUAGAAUGUGGGAGAGGUAG